UGGGGAAUUUUGGACAAUGGGGGAAACCCUGAUCCAGCCAUCCCGCGUGUGCGAUGAAGGCCUUCGGGUUGUAAAGCACUUUUGGCAGGAAAGAAACGUCGCGGGUUAAUACCCCGCGAAACUGACGGUACCUGCAGAAUAAGCACCGGCUAACUACGUGCCAGCAGCCGCGGUAAUACGUAGGGUGCAAGCGUUAAUCGGAAUUACUGGGCGUAAAGCGUGCGCAGGCGGUUCGGAAAGAAAGAUGUGAAAUCCCCAGAGCUUAACUUUGGAACUGCAUUUUUAACUACCGGGCUAGAGUGUGUCAGAGGGAGGUGGAAUUCCGCGUGUAGCAGUGAAAUGCGUAGAUAUGCGGAGGAACACCGAUGGCGAAGGCAGCCUCCUGGGAUAACACUGACGCUCAUGCACGAAAGCGUGGGGAGCAAACAGGAUUAGAUACCCUGGUAGUCCACGCCCUAAACGAUGUCAACUAGCUGUUGGGGGCCUUCGGGCCUUGGUAGCGCAGCUAACGCGUGAAGUUGACCGCCUGGGGAGUACGGUCGCAAGAUUAAAACUUAAAUGAAUUGACGGGGGUCAUAGCUGUUU
rnacentral:rRNA from 1 species